AUUGAACGCUGGCGGCAGGCCUAACACAUGCAAGUCGAGCGAGCGGCGGACGGGUGAGUAAUGUCUGGGAAACUGCCCGAUGGAGGGGGAUUACUACUGGAAAAGGUAGCUAAUACCCCAUACCAUCAGAUGUGCCCAGAUGGGAUGAGCUAGUAGGUGGGGUAAUGGCUCACCUAGGCGACGAUCCCUAGCUGGUCUGAGAGGAUGUCCGGCCGAACGGGAACUGAGACAGCGCCCAGGCUCCUACGGUAGGCAGCAGUUGGUAAUAUUGCACAAUGGGCGCAAGCCUGAUGCAGCCAUGCCGCGUGUGUGAAGACGGCCUUCGGGUUGUAAAGCACUUUCAGCGGGGGGGCGUUACCCGCAGAAGAAGCACCGGCUAACUCCGUGCCAGCAGCCGCGGUAAUAC
rnacentral:rRNA from 1 species